CUACGGGUUGCUGCAGUGGGGAAUAUUGGGCAAUGGGCGCAAGCCUGACCCAGCAACGCCGCGUGAGGGAAGAAGGUUUUCGGAUUGUAAACCUCUGUCCUUGGGGACGAAGAAGUGACGGUACCCAAGGAGGAAGCUCCGGCUAACUACGUGCCAGCAGCCGCGGUAAUACGUAGGGAGCAAGCGUUGUCCGGAAUUACUGGGCGUAAGGGGUGCGUAGGCGGCAUAUUAAGUCAGGUGUGAAAUACUCGGGCUCAACCCGGGGGCUGCAUUUGAAACUGAUAUGCUUGAGUGUGAGAGAGGAAAGUGGAAUUCCUAGGGUAGCGGUGGAAUGCGUAGAUAUUAGGAGGAACACCAGUGGCGAAGGCGACUUUCUGGCUCAUAACUGACGCUGAGGCACGAAAGCGUGGGGAGCAAACAGGAUUAGAUACCCCGGUAGUC
rnacentral:rRNA from 1 species